rnacentral:rRNA from 1 species
AUUGAACGCUGGCGGCGCGCCUAAUACAUGCAAGUCGAGCGAGAAGACGUAGCAAUACGUUUGUAAAGCGGCGAACGGGUGAGGAAUACAUGGGUAACCUACCCUAGAGUGGGGAACAACUAGCCGAAAGGUUAGCUAAUACCGCGUACGCUCCUUGGACUUCGGUUCAGGGAGGAAAGCGAUACCGAGGGUAUCGCGCUCUUGGAUGGGCUCAUGUCCUAUCAGCUUGUUGGGAGGUAACGGCUCACCAAGGCUUCGACGGGUAGCUGGUCUGAGAGGACGAUCAGCCACACUGGCACUGCGACACGGGCCAGACUCCUACGGGAGGCAGCAGUAAGGAAUAUUGCGCAAUGGGCGAAAGCCUGACGCAGCAACGCCGCGUGGAGGAUGAAGGCCCUUGGGUUGUAAACUCCUGUCGGCUGGGAAGAAA